CUCCCGCAAAAAAAAAGAAAAAAAGAAAAAAAAAAGAGAUAAGAAUUAUUUUCUUUACUAAUAAAAGAGGCGGCGCCUUUCGAUUCGAUUCUCGAAUCCGAAUUUUACUACGACCAGGUUGCCGCCGCCGCCGCCACCGCCGCCGACGAGCUGGGCGCCGCCAUGGCGCUGCUCCCCAUCCGCGCGCGGCUCUCCGCGCUGGACGACGACGACGACGACGCCGCCACCGUCUCCUCCUCGCGCUCCUCCUCCGCCGCCACGUCGCCGUCCCGCUCGCCCUCGCCGCUCGUCCCGCGCGCCUCGGUCCUCGGGGCACCGCGCGUCGCGGCGCAGCUCUCGUCCACCGAGGACGACAACGGCGGCGGCGAGGAUGAGGUGUUCGACGAAUCCACGGACUACGGGGACGACGAGGCGGCGGGGGAGGUGCUGGAUGAGUUGUCGAACGGCUUCUUCCGCAUCGCCAGGGUGCCGCCGCCGAGCGAAGACUCGAGCCCGAUCUCCGGCGGCGAGCCGGUGGUGAGUGUCUCCUCUCCGACCGAGAGUGGGUACUUCGGCGCGGCGGAGGGUUCUCUGAAAGAGGAGGGCUUCGUGGGCGCCAGGAACUUCGCCGACGUGUUCGACGCUGGCUCCAGGGUCGGGUUUGAGGAUGCUAAUGGUGUCACUGCGGGUGCCAAGAAUACAGGCGUCGAGAGCUCGUUGGAGGGGAGCUUCCAGAGCUCAGGGAGCGUCGUCGGCGUGUUCGAUGACACUGACGUCACCACAAUAGGUGAUUUGGUGAGUGCUUCAGAUGGUUCUCCGCUGAAUGUUGAUAAGCAGGGGGAUCAGGAUUCUGGUGCUGAGGUUGUCAAUGACGAGCCUGUUGAUGCUGAGGUUGUCAAUGGUAUAGAGCCUGAGCCUUUGGUAGGCGAGUCUGUUGAUGCUGAGGUUGUCAAUGGUGUCGUGCCUGAGCCUUUGGUAGGCGAAUCUGGGGGCUCCGACGGUGGUGGUAUGCAUGUUGAGGAUGAAUUGGAGAUGGAGGGUGGAAAGUCUGACAAUGGGAUUGCUGAAUUGCCUCCAGUGGUGAGUGCUCUAGAGAAACAAGAUACUGAUCUCGAGCUUCGCAAUGAUGAUUCUGGUGCAAAAGAUGGCGCGGACAAUCAUGAGGAUGCAACGAAUUUUGUUGAUUCCAGUACUGGAUAUGUUGCCACAGGAGAUGGCGCAUCUGAGCUUUUAGAGGUUCCUGCCAAUGUUGACGACUUGCAUUUUGUCACCGAUGACGGUCAUAAUGAUGACGCUGAGGAAACUGAUGGUGGUUAUGAAGCUUCUGAUGGUUAUGUGUCAAUGCCAACCUUUGGAAACAACAAUGCUGUUGAAAUUCCUGUAAAUGAAUCAGAGCACAAUGUACCUGCUUCCAAGGGCAGGCGCUUUGGUCUGGGUGAUUCAGAUGAUGAGUUUCAUGAUGAUGAUGUGGAGGAGGAAGAGGGUGAGGUGAACGGAAAGGAAAUAGAGUUUUUCGACUAUGCAGCUUUAGCUGAGCUUCUAAGAGCUGCCACACCUGGACAAGGCAUGGCCAAGGUUUUCCCAAUUGAAUCAUCUGUGCCCCUGCAAGUCCCUCCUACUACGGUCAGUGUUCCUAGGAAAAAUGUGGCUUCUAGCCCUGUGUUGGAAGUGGCUCCUAACCCUGAUAAUGAGAUGACUGAAGAGGAGAGGAAGUUGUACAGAAAGGUGGACGUGGCACGAAUCAAGUAUUUGCGUCUUAUUCAUAGACUGGGGUAUGACACUGAACAUCAUAUAGCUAUACAAGUGUUGUAUCGGCUUAGUCUUGUUGAAGGAUUCAGGCGCAUAAAGGUGGCAAAUCAUUCCUCUGAGCUUGAGAGUGCCUGGAAGAAGGCUUUGCAACUUGAAGCAGAGGGAACAGAGGACUUGGAAUUCUCAUGCAAUGUAUUGGUCCUUGGGAAGACAGGUGUGGGGAAGAGUGCAACAAUAAACUCCAUAUUUGGGGAGGACAAAUCCAAAACGAGUGCUUUUCUUCCUGCAACAACUGCAGUGAAGGAGAUUUCUGGGGUUGUUGGUGGUGUUAAGUUUCGUGUUGUCGACACCCCGGGACUUGGGACUACUCACAUGGAUGAAAAAUCAAACAGGAAAGUGCUUAACUCAGUUAAGAAGUAUAUCAAGAGAUGCCCUCCUGAUGUUGUUUUAUAUGUUGAUCGGAUUGAUACCCAGCGUCAGGAUGCAAACAACUUAUCCUUACUGCAAUGUAUUACCAGUGUGCUAGGCUCGUCAAUAUGGUCCAAAACCAUUAUUACUCUCACCCACUCAGCAGCAGCUCCACCUGAAGGGCCUAGUGGCAUCCCGUUGAAUUAUGAGAUGUUUGUCACUCAGCGGACUCAUGCAAUUCAGCAAAGUAUCCGGCAGGCAACUAAUGAUCCUCGGUUUGAGAACACAUCAGCUCUUGUGGAGAAUCAUCACCUCUGUCGGAGGAACACAGAGGGUGAAAAGGUGCUUCCUAAUGGCCUUAUUUGGAGGCGCCUGCUCCUCCUCCUGUGCUACUCAGUGAAGACAGUUGAGACUAACAGCCUGUCAGCCCGGGUUGCUUCUCCCGCAAACCUCUUUAGCCUGCGUUUUCGGAUGCCUCCACUUCCUCACUUCUUGUCAUCAUUGUUGCAAUCUAGAGAGCACCCAAGGUGUGCUGCUGACCAAGAUGUUGGAGAUAUUGAUCCUGAUGAGUUGAUAAAUGAGGAUGAAGAAGAUGACUACGAUCAACUUCCACCCUUUAAGCCAUUAAGUAAAUCACAGGUUGCGAAACUCUCCAAGGAGCAACAGAAAUUGUACUUUGAUGAGUAUGACUACCGAACCAAGCUUCUUGAGAAGAAACAGUUGAAGGAACAGCUCCGAAGACUAAAGGAAAUGAAGAUAGAGGGAAAUAACCAUGAUGUACUUGGGGACAAUGAUAAUCCUGAUGAUGAAUAUGAGACAGAAAGAUCUGUCAUGCCAGAUUGGGCCUUGCCAUCUUCGUUUGACUCUGAUGAUCCAGCAUACCGUUAUCGGUGCCUUGACCCUAAGCCAAACUUUCUGGUGCGUGCUAUUACCAACCCUGAUGGAUGGGAUCAUGAUUGUGGGUUUGAUGGUGUGAGCCUUCAAUAUAGCCUUGAUGCUGCCAAUGCGUUUCCAGCUUCUCUGUGGGUCCAAGUUAACAAGGACAAGAGAGAAUCCACCAUUCAUUUGGUGUCCUCAAUAUCAGCUAAGCAUAGGGAAAAUGUUUCAAGCCUUGCAGGCUUCGACAUCCAAACCAUAAUGGACCAGCUUGCUUACACUCUUAGAGGGGAGAGCAAAUUCAAGAACUCCAAGAAAAACACAACUACCGGAGGUUUGUCCAUGACUUUCUUGGGAGAUACUAUGGUGACCGGAGCGAAGUUUGAAGACAAGCUAUCAGUAGGUGAUAGAUUAACAUUGUUAGCAAACACUGGUGCUGUGUCCAUUAGAGGUGAUACUGCAUAUGGAGUGAAUAUGGAGGCAACUCUGCGAGAGAAAGACUAUCUGAUGGGUCAAGACCUUGCAAUUUUGGGAGCAUCCCUGGUUAGAUGGCAUAAAGAAUGGAGCAUGGCUGCAAAGUUGGAUUCCCAGUUCUCUAUGGGAAGAGCUUCAAACGUGGCUGUUCAUGUUGAUUUGACCAACAAAUUAACUGGACGGGUCAGCAUAAAGGCUAAUACAUCAGAGCAGUUGAAGAUUGCCCUAUUAGGUGUCUGUUCAAUGACAAUGUAUUUAUGGAACAGGAUGCAUCCUUUUAUUGAUCGUAAUUAUUAAUAGCACUGGUUAUUUAUAUUUCAAAACUGAAUUUCUCUUGGAAGGUCAUGUAAAGGUUCUGUCCUUUCUUGGAGUCCUCCAUUCCAAGGUGCGUUGGGAAGUGCUCGGAAGCUUCAGAGUUCAGGCUCCUACUACUCAGCUAGGGAUAUAAGUUGAACCAUCACUUUCAGUCAAGAAUCAAGACAAGUGUAGCUGUGCUGCCAUUUGAUGUUUGCUUCCCUCCCUCCGAUGUGCAGUUGGUGGACAACUUUAAGAGCAGAAGAAGAUCUACUCUUGUUUUGGAGAAACUUGUGAUCAGUAGCAGCUGUUAAACCAUAAUACCAUUGUAAGUUAUUACCAUCUUACCAUCUUUUUUUUUCUCUGUGUUGCCCCUUUCGAUGAAGCAACUAAAGUUCGACAAAUACAAGAAAUCUAGAUGUUGGGUAAAACAAGGGCCAUCAUAUUGUGCUAUGUCAAUGGUUGGUAAACUUUUUGAACUACUAUGCUUAUGCCCUUUGUGCUGGACAUCUGAUAAGCAUGACACCUGAGAAAUUAUAGUUUCUGUUAGUUGUUGCCUUGUGUUAGACAAUAUAUAUGUUGUCCUGAUCUACACACUGAAAUCAAAGCCUAUCACAUCGGUUGUGCCCUUUU